AUCAAUCUUAGGUGCAAAAAAAAAAUCAUAUAAUCUACAUGAUGUAUUUUAAUUUAAAGAACUUUCAAGUUUGAACUAAAUAUUGUUACUACUAUUUCUAAGAUUCGGUUUUUAUUCAUUAAGUUUGAAAAAAUCGGUUUUUAAAUGACACAUUGAAUCUUGGUUGGGUUCAAACGUUGGUAGCAACUAAGAUUCAAACGUUGGUGCAACAAUUAAUAACUCAAUAAUUUUUUUUAUAAAAUUAUUAAAAAUUUAUUAACUCAAUAAUCCAAUAAUAAUAAAUCAAUAACAUUUUUAUCGAUUCGAUUUAUCGAUCAGUUCAGUUUUUGCACAUCCCUAGAUGACAUAUUGAUUAAGAAAAAUAAUUAAUAACAUGACUAGUUUACCAUAGUACUCUUAUUAAAUGAUGUUUACAUUUUAAUUUGUAGAUAAAGUAAUUAAUGUAAAGAUUAAAACAUGUAUUUUUUUUUUUAUCUCUUCUUGAUUAGUGAAAAAAGAGAAGUAAAAUAAAAAAUUAAAUUAAGAAAUUUGAAACGGAGGGAAUAUUGCUUUUUACUGUUUUGAAUCUUCCAUGGGAAUUUAUUUACCCUAAAUAGAGGUUAAUGGACCAAAACCUCCAUUUUAAACAUGGAAGCUGAAGGUGGCUGGAAGUUAGUUGCUUUCCAGCUGACAGUUAGUUACACUAUAAAAAAAAUCGUGUUUAGCGACGGAUUUGUAGCAAUAAGGACAUUUUUGUCGCUAAUUAACGAUGAAAUUACAACAAAAUAGAACUUUUAUUGCUAAAUAAAUGAAAUUAAAAUUUGUAGCCUAAUUAGUAACGGAUUAGUGACAGAAAAUAAAAUUUAUUCCUAUAUUUUAGCGAAAAAUAUUGGCGCCUUAUUUUGGUGAUAAAAUUAGCGACUUAAAAGGUGAAUUUUUUUUUGACAUGAUGAAAAUGGAAAUAGCAACGAAAUUAUUGUCACUGACAUUAUUUUAUCAUUUUUUAAAAAUAUAUUAGUUAUUUUUUUAAUAAAUAAUUAGCAACGGAUUUUAUAUCAGUUGCUGAAUCCAUCACCUCACCAACUAAAUAUUAGGGCAAAGUCUUUUAUUUCACUUUGUUCCCAAAACAUAGUAUCAUCCGCCUCUCUCCAAAAACAAACUCUUCUUUCCCUUUUCUCUCAAUUGAGAAAAGAGAAUCGCUCAAUAUUAAUCGAAAAGAGAGUCAAUCGCUCAAUUUCGAAUCUAAAUUAGAGUUACGAUUCUAAAUCUCGUAAUGUGAGUUCUUUUUCCUCUUUCAAUUUCUUAAUUUUUAUGUUAGAAAUCACUUGUAAAUGAUAGGUUCAGGGUUGUUUGAGCUCUUUCACUUAGGUUUUCCUUACCAUUGUUGAUAUUAUAUGUCUUUAUGGUUAAUCGGUAGACAAUAGCAUGUACCAUAUUUUCUCGCUUAAUUGUCUCAGCGUAGUAUAAGAAAAUUUCCAUAUCUGCUUGGAUUUUUUAUUUUGAAUUUAAAAGAUGUCUGCGGACUUUAUUUUGGCUUAUUUUUAGUAAUUGAGUAUUAUUAAUGUGAUUAAAAGUCUAGAUUUGUAAAAACUAGAGAAAAAAUUUGCUUCUCUAAACUCAGAGGGGUGGUCGCAGAGAUGGAGACUAUCAUCAAGUUGUUCAUGUGUUGAUAUUUGCUGAGAGUGCAUAAGAACUACUUCUCCAAGGACGUGCUGAUUGCAAGGAUUCCUGGGUUGGUCAGUGGGAUAUCUUAAGUGUCGGUCAUAUACUCCUUUACAAUCUACAACUUGCUAAUUUUGAUGGGCUCCUCAUCAUUCCAUUUAUCGUCCUUCCUCUUUUCACGGCUGGGAAGGGGAGCCUUGGAGUAACUGGUAAAGUUGCUGCCAUGUGAUCAGUAGGUCACGGGUUCAAGCUAGAAAUAACAGCCCCGCGCAGAAAUGUAAGGUGAGGAUGCUUUCCCGAGGAUGUUCUGCGAGAAAAGUGAAGAUGUUCUAAGAGAGAUCAGUCUCAACACGGGGAGUAGCCUAUAUCUCGAGGAUGCUUUCCUCAUCGCUGGUGAGGAGUCAAGACUCUUCAUUGAUGUUGAAGAGACUGAAAAGCACCUAGAGGUAUUUCAAACAUUAAAGGAGUCAUUUCUGAAGGCUUAUAAUGUUAUGGAUAGAGAACUCAAAAGCUAUACAAAUAUUGAUUGCUUCUGUAGUGGAGCAACAGCUGUAACCCUGGUUAAACAGAGUAAGAAUCUUGUUAUUGAUAAUAUUGGGGACUCUAGAGUUGUGCUGGCUACGAGAGGCGAGGAUGAUUCUCUCACUGCAGUGCAAUUGACAGUAGACCUUAAGACGGAUUUACCAGGUGCAUACAUGUCUAUAUCUUGCUAUCUACAUAGUGACAUUUUUUUUUUCGAAAUUGUGUUGAUCAACAAAAUUACCACUUAAUUUCUGUUCAUUUAAUGAACUUAUCUAUCUCUCGAUAAAUGUUAUGUUAGCUAUUCUGAGUUAAACUGUUGCAAAUAGCCAUCAGAUUUGAAAUGGCGCCAUGCUGUUACAAUCUUACACAUUCAUGCAUCCUCCCUCCCCAAGAAAAAAGUGUGUUUAUCUCCCAACUGUUAUAUCCCUUUCCCUUCCUGGUGUUGGCCUCUGUGCGUCUCUACAAAUUUCAGCUUUCAGUCAAGCCUUCUCAGAUUUUUUAUGACAAAAUCAAGAAAACAUAAAUGUUAGCUAUUUGAGAUAAGUUGAUAAUGGUCAAAACUGUGAACUUUUGGGUUCAUUGGUUAAAGAGAUAGAACGAUUAGGAUCUCAUCCGUCAACGGUGGCGAGUAUAUCUUAUAGAGUAAAGUUGUUGUAGUGUGGGUCGAAUUAUCAAUUCAUAUAUGAAAUCAGUCAAUCGAUCAACUCUAAUCUCGGACUAGUUGAGGUUGUCUAUUCUAAUCCUCUAUAUCAUCUACCCUACUGAUAAAAUUUCACACUUUACAAUGAUCAUCUACAAUUUGCUUAUUUCUUUUAUUAUAAGUAGUGGUUAGUUGUUAUAAUUUUGGAGUGCAUAUGAUCAUUCAAGUAUCAACAAUUUCAUUUGGUUUCAACUGUCCUAGUAAAACAUAAACUACAACUUCUAAACUUCUUUAAUUAGCUAUAGAUAUUUAAAUAUAUCAUUUCUUGAAUACACUUUUCUUAUGUAAAGAUAGUUUGACUAACACAAGGAUUAUUGUCUGUAUGUGAAAUUUUACACCCCCUUGAAAUGCUGAAUGUUCUCUCCCAUGUGAUUGCAUACAUACAUGGUCAUGAUGGAAAAUCUUUCGUUGAUGAAUGUUCCCGAAUCAUCCAUAAAAGAUUUGAAGAAAUAUUACGAGAAAAAACAUUAUCAGAAUCUGAUAUUGAUCAAUUUGAAGCAUAUUACUAAGCUGUCGGAGGAGAAAAGAAGCGAAGAGUAUUUGGUCUUGGAUCUGAAGCAAAAGGCUACUACGGGCAAACUCUUUGUGUUUCUUGUGGAAAGAUAUCAUCUUUAGCUUCUCAUGAAUUGUGUUUAGCUUUUGCUAUCUUUGGUAUUGUGGAUGAUGUGGGUUGUUUUAAGGAUAGUUGGUUGAUGUUUGGUACUAUGGAUGUUUUGGAUAUAAUUAUGUGUUUAGAUGUUGCUAUGUUUGGUAUUGUGGAUGUUUAGAUUUUGCUAUCUAUAUAUGUGGGUUCUUUUA